rnacentral:lncRNA from 1 species
AAACGAUAAGCCUUCAUGCGCUGGCUGGUUUAGGUAGUUCUGGGUUAGAUCUAACCUAACUAUUCUGCCAGUUAUAUUACAAAGGGCAGAAAUCUCAAAUCGUAAUUUCUGCCAGUUUUUUCUUUGUAGGAGACAGCCAAACACAAUCCUAACCUUCCAACAGCUGCCGUCCCUCCUCCAGCGAGCUCUGGUCACCAACUCCAGCCAUGUCUUCUAGCCGGCAACCAUCUUCCACACCUUUAGUCCUAUCUUGGUUAUUUAUUGGUUAUCCAUAUGUACAUAUUUGUAAAUAUGAAUAGAGGGAAGAGUUUGCAAAAAUAAACAGGGUUCAUGCAUCGCCUAGGCAACUCAUGCGGCCAGUUCCAUAGCAUGAUCAAACUGCCACCUGUAAAAGCUUCUUUUAUACAACUCU